rnacentral:lncRNA from 1 species
AAGAACCAACUUUUAGUUUUGUCAAUUUUUUCAAUUGUUUCUUUUGUUUCGAUUUCAUUAAUUUCAGCUCUGAUUUUAAUUAUUUCUUGCCUUCUACUUCUUUUGCUGUUGUUUUGCUCUUCUUUUUCUAGGAUUUUGAGAUGAAGUAUGAGAUCAUUUAUUUGUUGGUUUUUUCUUUUUUUAAGGAAUGAACUCCAAGCAAUGAAUUUUCCUCUUAGAACUGCUUUCAAUGUGUCCCAUAGAUUCCGAUAUGUUGUGUCUGUGUUUUCAUUAAUCUCUAAGAAUUUUUUAAUUUCCUCCUUGAUGUCUUCUAUAACCCAUUGAUCAUUCAGUAACCUAUUGUUCAUUCUCCAAGUGAUGUAUGCUUUUUCCUUCCUUCUUUUAUCGUUGAUUUUCAGUUUCAUUCCAUUAUGAUCAGAUAGGAUGCAUGGUAUUAUCUCUACUCCUUUAUAUUGUCUAAGAGUUGCCCUGUGACAUAAUAUAUGAUCUAUUUUUGAGAAGGAUCCAUGUGCUGCUGAGAAAAAAGUGUAACUGCUUGAUGUUGGGUGGUAUAUUCUAUAUAUGUCAAUUAAGUCUAGGUUAUUAAUUGUGUUAUUGAGUUCUAUAGUUUCCUUAUUCAACUUUUGUUUGGAAGAUCUGUCCAGUGGCGAGAGAGGUGUGUUGAAGUCUCCCAUGAUUAUUGUAUGGUGGUCUAUUAGACUCUUGAACUUGAGAAGAGUUUGUUUGAUGAACAUAGCUGCACCAUUGUUUGGGGCAUAUAUAUUUAUGAUUGUUAUGUCUUGUUGGUGUAUGGUUCCCUUAAGCAAUAUGUAGUGUCCCUCUUUAUCCCUUUUGAUUAACUUUGGCUUGAAAUCUAUUUUAUUUGAUAUGAGUAUGGACACUCCUGCUUGUUUCCGAAGUCCAUAUGAGUGAUAUGAUUUUUCCCAACCUUUCACCUUCAGCCUAUGUAUGUCUUUUCCUAUCAAAUGCGUCUCCUGUAGGCAGCAUAUUGUUGGGUCUUGUUUUGUGAUCCAUUCUACUAGCCUGUGUCUCUUGAUUGGUGAGUUUAAGCCAUUAACAUUUAGGGUUAUUAUUGAGAUAUGGGUUGUUCUUCCAGCCAUAUUUGUUUAUUUCUGUUACUAAACAUGGUUUGUUUUCCUCUAUGAUUAUCCCCCCCCCUUUACUGUCCUACCUCCCACUGUUGGUUUUCAUUGUUAUUUUCCAUUUCCUCUUCCUGUAAUGUUUUGCCGAGGAUGUUUUGAAGAGAUGGUUUUCUAGCUGCAAAUUCUUUUAACUUUUGUUUAUCGUGGAAGGUUUUAAUUUCAUCUUCCAUCCUGAAGCUUAAUUUCGCUGGAUACACAAUUCUUGGUUGGAACCCAUUUUCUUUCAGUGUUUGAAAUAUGUUAUUCCAGGAUCUUCUAGCUUUCAGAGUCUGUGUUGAAAGAUCAGCUGUUAUCCUGAUUGGCUUACCCCUAAAUGUAAUCUGCUUCCUUUCUCUUGUAGCUUUUAAAAUUCUCUCCUUAUUCUGUAUGUUGGGCAUCUUCAUUAUAAUGUGUCUAGGUGUGGAUCUCUUAUAAUUUUGCACAUUCGGCGUCCUGUAGGCUUCUAGAAUUUGGGAUUCUGUCUCAUUCUUCAAGUCUGGGAAGUUUUCUCGUAUUAUUUCAUUGAAUAAAUUGCUCAUUCCUUUGGUAUGGAGUUCUAUACCUUCCUGUAUCCCAAUGACUCUUAAGUUUGGUCUCUUAAUGUUAUCCCAUAUUUCUUGGAUGUUCUGCUCAUGGUUUCUUAACAGUCUUGCUGAGCUGUCUAUGUUCUUUUCAAGUUGAAAUACUUUGUCUUCAUUGUCUGAUGUUCUAUCUUCUAAGUGUUCUACUCUGCUGGUAGUAUUCUCAAUUGAGUUUUUAAGUUGGUUUAUUGCUUCCUGCAUUUCUAGGAUUUCUGUUUGUUUGUUUUUUAUAACCUCUAUCUCCCUGUAUAGUUGAUCCUUUGCUUCCUGGAUUUGUUUGUGUAAUUCCUUGUCGAAGUGAUCUUUCAUUGUCUGAUUUUGCUGUCUAAUGUCUUCCUUGAUACUCCAGAUCAUCUGAAGCAUAUAUAUCCUGAAUUCUUUAUCUGACAUUCCAUCUGCUGCAGCUGUUACCUCUUCUAAAGUUGAGUUGACCUGCAUUGCUUGUAGUCCUUUCUUUCCUUGUCUUUUCAUACUGCUUGCGUUUCUUUCUUCUUGGUGAAACUGUUGUGUUUUUGAAAUUUUUCCCCCCCUAUAUAUUUAUAUUGCUCUUGUAUAGUUGAAAAGUCUCCCUUGCAGGUGCGGGCGGGGGCUCUGCUCUGCCCCUCCUCCAAUUGGUGUGAGGUGUCUACCACGCCCGCGGACCCCUGGGCCUGAUCCGCCGUUCUGUCGCAGGUCUGCCUACCUUGCAGGUGGGGGCGAAGGCUCUGCCCUGCCCCUCCUACCACGCCCGGGGACCGCUAGGCCUGAUCUGCAGGUUGGUCGCCGGUCUGCCCACCUUGCGGGCACGGGUGUCAGUUCCG